GAAGGGGGCACCUGCAUCCAGCUAUGCCGCGUGAGUGAAGAAGGCCUUCGGGUUGUAAAGCUCUUUUGUCAGGGAAGAAACAGCAGCUCUAACACAGUUUGCGAAUGACGGUACCUGAAGAAUAAGCACCGGCUAACUACGUGCCAGCAGCCGCGGUAAUACGUAGGGUGCAAGCGUUAAUCGGAAUUACUGGGCGUAAAGCGUGCGCAGGCGGUUAUGUAAGACAGGCGUGAAAUCCCCGGGCUUAACCUGGGAAUUGCGCUUGUGACUGCAUAGCUAGAGUAUGUCAGAGGGGGGUAGAAUUCCACGUGUAGCAGUGAAAUGCGUAGAGAUGUGGAGGAAUACCAAUGGCGAAGGCAGCCCCCUGGGAUAAUACUGACGCUCAUGCACGAAAGCGUGGGGAGCAAACAGGAUUAGAUACCCUGGUAGUCCACGCCCUAAACGAUGCUGACUAGUUGUUCGGGAAUUUAUUCCUGAGUAACGUAGCUAACGCGUGAAGUCAGCCGCCUGGGGAGUACGGUCGCAAGAUUAAAACUCAAAGGAAUUGACGGGGACCCGCACAAGCGGUGGAUGAUGUGGAUUAAUUCGAUGCAAAGCGAAAAAACUUUAC
rnacentral:rRNA from 1 species